GACGAACGCUGGCGGCGUGCCUAAUACAUGCAAGUCGAGCGGAGCUUAUCCUUCGGGGUAAGCUUAGCGGCGGACGGGUGAGUAACACGUAGGCAACCUGCCCCUUAGCCUGGGAUAACUACCGGAAACGGUAGCUAAUACCGGAUAAUUUCUUUUUUCUCCUGAAGAGAGAAUGAAAGGCGGAGCAAUCUGCCAUUAAGGGAUGGGCCUGCGGCGCAUGAGCUAGUUGGUGGGGUAACGGCUCACCAAGGCGACGAUGCGUAGCCGACCUGAGAGGGUGAACGGCCACACUGGGACUGAGACACGGCCCAGACUCCUACGGGAGGCAGCAGUAGGGAAUCUUCCGCAAUGGGCGAAAGCCUGACGGAGCAACGCCGUGUGAGUGAUGAAGGUUUUCGGAUCGUAAAGCUCUGUUGCCAGGGAAGAACGUCCGGUAGAGUAACUGCUACCGGAGUGACGGUACCUGAGAAGAAAGCCCCGGCUAACUACGUGCCAGCAGCCGCGGUAA
rnacentral:rRNA from 1 species